rnacentral:rRNA from 1 species
GACGAACGCUGGCGGCGUGCUUAACACAUGCAAGUCGAACGGAAAGGCCCUGCUUUUGUGGGGUGCUCGAGUGGCGAACGGGUGAGUAACACGUGAGUAACCUGCCCUUGACUUUGGGAUAACUUCAGGAAACUGGGGCUAAUACCGGAUAGGAGCUCCUGCUGCAUGGUGGGGGUUGGAAAGUUUCGGCGGUUGGGGAUGGACUCGCGGCUUAUCAGCUUGUUGGUGGGGUAGUGGCUUACCAAGGCUUUGACGGGUAGCCGGCCUGAGAGGGUGACCGGCCACAUUGGGACUGAGAUACGGCCCAGACUCUUACGGGAGGCAGCAGUGGGGAAUAUUGCACAAUGGGCGGAAGCCUGAUGCAGCAACGCCGCGUGCGGGAUGACGGCCUUCGGGUUGUAAACCGCUUUCGCCUGUGACGAAGCGUGAGUGACGGUAAUGGGUAAAGAAGCACCGGCGAACUACGU